rnacentral:rRNA from 1 species
UACGGAGGGUGCAAGCGUUAAUCGGAAUUACUGGGCGUAAAGAGCUCGUAGGCGGUCUGUCGCGUCUGCUGUGAAAACUCAGGGCUUAACCCUGAGCUUGCAGUGGGUACGGGCAGACUAGAGUGCGGUAGGGGAGACUGGAAUUCCUGGUGUAGCGGUGAAAUGCGUAGAUAUCGAGAGGAACACCUGCGGCGAAGGCGGGUUGCUGGGCUGACACUGACGCUGAUGCGCGAAAGCCAGGGGAGCGAACGGG